GUCCACGCUGUAAACGAUGGGCACUAGGUGUCCGGGGUAUUGACCCCCUGGGUGCCGCAGCUAACGCAUUAAGUGCCCCGCCUGGGGAGUACGGUCGCAAGAUUAAAACUCAAAGGAAUUGACGGGGGCCCGCACAAGCGGUGGAGCAUGUGGUUCAAUUCGACGCAACGCGAAGAACCUUACCUGGGCUAGACAACGGCGGACCGUCCUAGAAAUAGGACUUUCCCUUCGGGGACCUCCGGUUCAGGUGCUGCAUGGCUGUCGU
rnacentral:rRNA from 1 species